GACGAACGCUGGCGGCGUGCUUAACACAUGCAAGUCGAACGGAAAGGCCCUGCUUUUGUGGGGUGCUCGAGUGGCGAACGGGUGAGUAACACGUGAGUAACCUGCCCUUGACUUUGGGAUAACCUCAGGAAACUGGGGCUAAUACCGGAUAGGAGCUCCUGCUGCAUGGUGGGGGUUGGAAAGUUUCGGCGGUUGGGGAUGGACUCGCGGCUUAUCAGCUUGUUGGUGGGGUAGUGGCUUACCAAGGCUUUGACGGGUAGCCGGCCUGAGAGGGUGACCGGCCACAUGGGGACUGAGAUACGGCCCAGACUCCUACGGGAGGCAGCAGUGGGGAAUAUUGCACAAUGGGCGGAAGCCUGAUGCAGCAACGCCGCGUGCGGGAUGACGGCCUUCGGGUUGUAAACCGCUUUCGCCUGUGACGAAGAGUGAGUGACGGUAAUGGGUAAAGAAGCACCGGCUAACUACGUG
rnacentral:rRNA from 1 species